rnacentral:rRNA from 1 species
GAUGAACGCUGGCGGCGUGCCUAAUACAUGCAAGUCGAGCGAACAGAUGAGGAGCUUGCUCCUCUGACGUUAGCGGCGGACGGGUGAGUAACACGUGGAUAACCUACCUAUAAGACUGGGAUAACUUCGGGAAACCGGAGCUAAUACCGGAUAAUAUAUUGAACCGCAUGGUUCAAUAGUGAAAGACGGUUUUGCUGUAACUUAUAGAUGGAUCCGCGCCGCAUUAGCUAGUUGGUAAGGUAAAGGCUUACCAAGGCAACGAUGCGUAGCCGACCUGAGAGGGUGAUCGGCCACACUGGAACUGAGACACGGUCCAGACGCCUACGGGAGGCAGCAGUAGGGAAUCUUCCGCAAUGGUCGAAAGCCUGACGGAGCAACGCCGCGUGAGUGAUGAAGGUCUUCGGUUCGUAAAACUCUGUUAUUAGGGAAGAACAAAUGUGUAAGUAACUAUGCACUUCUUGACGGUACCUAAUCAGAAAGCCACGGCUAACUACGUG